rnacentral:misc_RNA from 1 species
UUUGGGUGUCAAACCUGUUUCCUGACACGUGUGUGUGUAUGACUAUACUCCCUAUAAAUAUAGAUGAUGCAAAAUUAUUGGCCGUGAGCUUCAUGAUCAUAUUUCUUGCACAGUUGAACAAUACAAAAACAAAAAUGGAUCAACAACCAACUUUUCAGCCACUUGUCAAUUCUUCUUCGCUAUCUUCGCUGUCAUCACUGCAUUUUCACAGCCAACAAUCAUCAUAAACAACAUAUUGAGACCAUACAUAGUGAUCAACCAAAACCAACAAAUGUGGAAAUUUAGUCCAACAAGGACAAGCAUGGGAGAGUAAAGGAAAACGGACAUAAAAUGUGCUUAUAAUAGCAUGUACAUCUUUUUAUUUUUUUCGGAAAAAAAAGGAAUAUAUUAGGAGUUGAUCUUCAUAAAUGAUGUAGGAGAGAGCAGUGCCACAAGCUAUCCUGGCAGAUGCUAUUACAUUAAGAUCAUCAGCUAAAAUAUAUGGUGUUUUUUGACUAAUAUUGUGCUAAGAUCAUUAGCUAAUACAUGCCAUCAUUCUGUAAGCUCGCCUACAGAAUUUUGACUACAGUUGUAUUGAUACACAACAUCAGCUAACACGCAUGGUCAUUUAGUUUGUAAAGCAAGAGCCAUGCCAUCAUCGUUCACUCAUGUCUAUCCUACCCAUUAAGCAUCUUUAUGUCUCUCUAGUUAUUUUUUCACUUUCACAUGUAGACAUUGCAAAUGUCCUCCCUCCUAAACUGGAAUACAGUCUCUCUCUACAUUCUUUUCUUUCUAUAAUUUCACUGAACCAACAAAUCAUGUGCUCCACAUAAUUUUCCUCAUUAUAUAAAGGGGAAAAUUCACAUUCCAAGAUGAUUUGGGAUUUCUCCUGCACAAGUCUAUGUACUCAAAUCCCACAAAAGGCAGCAUCAUCUCAAACAUAUACAGGAAAGGACGCAAAUGCACAUGUAACACAUCACAUCCAUAUACAUAUAACACAUCACAUGUAUAAGAAAAAAAAGAGUGAAUCAGCUCCCAUAAAUUUAUAAUGCAAAAGAAUAUUAUAUGCAAGAAAGCAUGAUUUAAUGGGAGACAAAGAAAUAUCUCACGCUUGUACAAAUAGAAUAGGUAUAUCAAGCGCAGCACAGAAGUUCAAAGCAACUGAUGUCCAGAACAACAGUAAAUGUUCAAUUGGAUUACCUAUGUUCAGGGAACUUUGAAAGCCGUCUUGCAUCCAAGCCCGUGAUAAACUUUUGAGCAGCCUGAACAUUUUCUGCACCCUUUGUCAACUGGAAGGUGUGCAGGGCACAUCUUUCUGCUGCUAGCCUCACUGGAGUACUACUGUCCUUCAAACAUUCAGCGAGUGCAGGGCCAAUAAUAGAAACAUAGGCCAUAAUAGAUGAAGGACUAGCUUUUGCAACAAUUUUUAGAGCAGAUAAUGCUCUUCUUCUGACUUCACUGGAGUCAUCACGCAAAGCUGACACUAUAGAUGAAAUGAGAUCCGUGUAUGCAGAGGUUUUUGAAGGAUCCCUUUGAAUUUGAUGAAGAAGCAGCCUUCCUAAUGCCUUGGUUGAAGUUUCACGAAGAGGGAACUUCUCAUCUUGCAAGCCAUCCUUAAGGCAGUCUACCAAAGAUGGGAAUUCUGCAGAAGUAAUAACAGAGGAAGGAUUGUGCCUUAGCAAGGACGAGAUAGUGAGUACUGCACCAUGCCUAGAAACCCAGCUCGAAGAAGAAGCCAAAUUUGAGAGUUGCUGAAGCAGGUCAAUGAGUUGAGCAGCUUCCAUGUACUGUGAUGUGAUACCCAAUAUGCUAGCAGCAGAAAUUCGAACUUGGUCAUCAUCAUGAUGAACCAAAUCGUUCAGUUGACUAUAAACACGAAUUUUGACAGCACUGCUCACACUCUUCCCAGCAUGCUUCAGGACACCUUUUAAAGCCAUGAGGAUAGCCUCCCGCACACCAGCAUCCGAUGCCUGCAGACUGGACAGGAGGUCACUGACUAGAGGAUCAACCCUAGAACUAAGUGCACUAAGCUUCCCAAGUGCAAGGGCGGCACUUGUACGAACCGUCCUUGUGUUAUCUUGCAGACACUUGAUAAAUGUUGUUUGAAGCUGGGGAAGAAACGGUUUCAGGGCCAAUCCACCUUUUCUUAUUAUGAUGCUCAAGGUAGACAAAAUGGCACUCUUCACUUGCCAAGGGAAACGAUCACCUAUGAUCCGGAUAAGAGGCCCUGUGACUGGGAUGACAAAUUCCUUAAGUGCUUGUUCACUGGUUACUUCAAUAAGCUCCCCAAGGCCCAAUGCUGCCUGCUCUCUUAAUUCAGCAGAGCCGCUAAUUAAGCCUUGCAGAAAAAUUGGAAGCAAAGGCUGAAGAGCCUUUGGAAGACAGAAACCAGGAAUUAGAACUGGUCCUCCCUUCUUCUUCCUACGUUCUUUAUCUCUGGAUGUGGAGACAGCAUCGCGCACCACUUUUAUAUAAGAAGGAAGUACCUCCUUAGGAACUGAGCUAACAACCCUUGAUAAGGCUUCCCAAGCAGCCGUAACAGUUGUGGAAUCUGUAUCGCUAAGCAAAACAAUCAGUGUAGACAUCAUGUUUGGAGCUUCAUCAACCAAAUAUAGCUUGCUGUUUUUGAAGAAGUAUCCUAUCAGAUAUGACGAACUUCUCCUAACAGAAGCCAUGCUAUCUCCAACACCUUUAAGAAGCUCCGCUAUCAAAUACUCAACACCUUCCUCAUCUAUGACCAAGACCACUGUUUCUGCAGCCUGCUUUGCCAAAGUUUGAACAUCCUUGUCCUCGCCACCCAUUGCAGAUAGUAACGCAGGGAGAACAGUACCAAGAUGAACAUUAAGCCCAGGUCCCGCAACCUCCGCUAAUGCCCCUAGAGCAUGUGCAUUGAAGGCAGAGAGGGGAAGGUGGACCAGCUUGGGCAAAAUAUGAGGCAAUACAGCAGCAGUCCUAACACUUAAAAUUUGUUUGAGGCCAUCAAGAGCAGUAUCGGAGGUCUCGUCAUCCUCCAGAGCAAGCAGAAGUGUUGGAACAAUUUCAUCAAUUGCAUGCAUUCCAGCACUCUUGUACAGAGUGCUGAACGCUAAGCCUGCAGACUCACGAACCUCAGGAGUGCUAUCACAAAGGGCAGUCCUAAUAGUGGGGAUGAGCUCGUCCAUGAAACUUAAUAACUGACUCUUCCCAGCACUUGCCAUUACUUCACUCAGACCAAUGCAUACACCCUGUCUUCUGCUAGCAUCAGGAUCCUUCAGCCCCUUGGAUAAGAUUGGGAUUAUCAAAGGAAGUACUCUUUCACCAAGCUUCCGAACAAGUUCACCCAAUGACCGUCCAGCAACCUGCCGUCUUUCAGAUGAUGAUGAAGCAAGGGAGGAUAUCAGGGUAUUCAUCAAAACUGGCAUGAUUUCUUUAAGAGUCUUUGGAGUAUUUGCCACGAUAGUUUUCCAUACAUGUAAGGCAGCCUGACGCACGGAUAAGCUCACAUCAGUCCUAACCAUAUAUAGUGCAGCAAGAACUUCAUUACGCUUGUCUCUUCCUAAAACCUCAAUAAUUGCACGCCCAUGUGCUUCUGUGCUAGCACCUUCAUCAUCACUACCACCCUCAAGCAAAGCUUUUCCAGAAGUUCCAGCAACCUUAAAUAAGAGAUCUCCCAAUAAUUCCACAGAGCUUUGUCGGAUACGCCAAUUAUCAUUAAAAAUGCCAUCCUCAACAGCUGGAAGGAGAAGAGGCAAGGACGUUGUUGCAUAGUGCUCGACAAGGACAUGUCCAGCACCUAAUGCUGCAUCUCGCACUGAUUCAUUCUCAUCAGCAAGACCAUCCAAGAUAGCAGGCAGCACCUGCUGCAAAUAGUUCUGGAAUUGAACACCUAAUGACCUUGGCAAAUACUUGAAAAGUGUCAAAUAUCCAUCACGUACGGAUGCCCUCUGAUGAGAACAGUUUCGGAUAAUAUCAGGAAGUACAAUCUCAAAGUAUUCCGUUCCUAGUGCAGCUAAAACCUCACUCAACCCUUGAGCAGCUCCAGAGCGCUCGACAUUACUAUUAUCGGAUUUUAGUGUAUCAAAAAGCCAUGGGACAAGAUCUGGGAAGUUUUCUUCUCCCAUUCCUCUUAUAAGUGAUCCAAGAGCCCUUGCUGCUACAGACCGAACUUCUGGAAUUGGAUCCACAAGAACCUUUUUUACUUCAGGAAGAAGCAGCCCUAUGUAAGGAAUCAUAUCCUUUGGUUCAGUAACUAAAGAACACAUAUUUCCAACUAUUUGUGCGGCUUUCUUUUUAGUUUCAGCGCUUCGCUCUCUUAGCCCUCUAUGAACUAUUGGUACCAGCAGUGCGAGUGAAGGGGCAUCAAUGGAAUUAACAAAAGUUGUCUGGAGGAGAAUGUCAAGGGAAUAUUUGGUGUAGUCAUUGGGAUCUGUAAGGCCCAUGAGAAGUGUAGGGACAAGGGAAGAUAUUUCCGGAUUCUUUAUAACACUCCCAACCUGCUGAAGUGCCGUUUGUCCUGCUGACUGGACUUUGGGAUGAGUAUCAGUUAAUACCUCUGUCAGUUUUGGCACAAUUGUGGGCAGACACUGCGACAAUUGUUGAGGAGCGCAGUAAGCCAUCGCACCAAGAAGCUGUACACUGCUUUGCUUUGUCCGCCAGGCUUUGUCCUCAAGACCCUUUAAAAGUGAUGGAAGAACAAGCUUAACCCCUUGUGCACUGAGUUGAGACAUCAUUGCACGAGCAGCACAUUCAGCAGCUUCACGAACAGCAACCACUUGGUCAGAGAAAGAAACCAAAAGUAGUGGCAACAUUAGAAUCACAUACGGUUCAAACAAUUUUCCAAGCUUUUCACAAAAGCACUCAAAAGCCAAAAGAGCUCCCUCACGAGACUUUGCAGAAUUCCUAUCAGUAAGACCUUCCCUCAACGCAGCAACAAUACCAUAAUUCUUCAGGCAAGAUAUUCCAAAUCCCUUAACCACUCCAGCCAGUCCAAAAGCUGCUCCACGACGUUCACCAUAUUUGUCACUCUUCAUUAGUUGAUCCAACAGUCUAGAAACAAGUGCAGCUGCAUCAUCUUUCUUUGAUUGCAUUAAUGGAGAUAGGCAUGAUGAUACAGCCCGUUGAACAGCUUCUGAUGGAGUGUUUAACACGUCCAACAACUUCUCCACAACAGCAUGAACUUUUGGAUCAUCCUUCUCCAAGUGUUUUGCCAAAGCUCCAGUAAAAAUAACUACACCCUCACGAACCAAAUCAUAUUUUUCCUCAUCCGAUGCCUUCUUGUUUAAGUAAUUUUCAAAUAUUGGAAAUAACAAGGAAACAUUUUCUUUCCCAUGCUUGUCAAUAAUCAUUAUGCCAGCAUUGAUCAUUCUUCCACGAACAUCUGCAUUAGGGUCAGCCAAUGCUCGUGAUAUGAGGAAUGUCAUAACAACUGGAAGGUCUUUUGUUCUCAGAACAUCAGCAGCAGAAUGUAAAGCCAAUGCUAUCCCUUGCCUCCCUAUCCACCGAGCAUCAACAUUGUCCUCACCAAAGGUGGCAUCUCGAAUGUACAAGGAAAACAAAGUGGAAAGUGAUUCCUGUAUAGAAUCAGGGUUUUCAUCCAAAGCAGCAGCCAAUGCCUCUGCAGUAGCCACACGAACAUUAUAAUUAAUAUGAGAAAGUGCUUUGAAAAGUCCAGAAUAGUCAGUCCCAAAGUCAUAUCCAUAACGAUCCCAUAUAUCCUCUGCAGCUUCAGCUAUUGACUUUUCCGGAUCAUGCAGAGCAAUCCAAAUGCUGGUUGCAACCACAACAUCCUGAGGAAGAGAAUGGCUAGAAACAGCUGGAAUGCAUUUUAUGGCAUUUAAACAGGCCAUUCUUACAUGAACAUCUUUUGCAUACACUCCAUACAAAGCAGAAGCAACUUCAUCUGGCUGCAGACCAAGGCACAAUUCAUUCAAGGCUGCUCCAACAGGUGCUUGAUAAGCAGGAACAACACCUAGAACAUGAUAAAGAGCUGAUAGCAUUCUAAGUCUAGGAAGGGGUAAUUGGGGAUCCAUGUGCAAAUAGAGAAUCCGAAGCACAUUAUCAUGAAGUCCAGUCUUCUUAGAAGAUAACAGAAUACGCUCCAUUAUUGGAAAGACAAAGGUAAACGAAUCUACGGGAAGAGGUCCAGAUUUACAAGAGACAGAUAAUCCAUAAAUUAUUCUUUCAAAAAGACCCAUGGAUGGGCUUUCAUUGGCUUCCUCUUCACCAACUGCUGGAAUCAGAUCCAGCAGAAUAUCGACCUCCUCAGUCACAAUAAGGCGCAAAGCAGUAGCAAUGUCAAUGGCCCAAUUACAAAGCGGUGGAGCCGUACAGCGGGAAAGCUUCACCAAGCUUUCAUAGGCCACAUCACUUACUAUAGGUGACCGGAGCAAAGGUUCAACAAACUUAACCAGGGAAGGCAAUUGACUAUGCGCAAAUACAGGAUUAGAGAGGGCCAUUUCUCCAAGUGCUCGCAGAAUUAAAGACAGAUUAUUCUGUAUACCCCGGACCUUCUCACGUAUUGCUGCCUCCUCUUUCAGCAAUAAUUCACGUGCCUCUUCUUUUGCUGUCUUUCCUUUGUCAGUUUUCUUUGCUAAUUUUCCAGUAUCUUUUUUCCCCACACCAGCAGCUUCUCUACCAGCUGGUUCUCUCUUGACGGAAUGAUUAGAACUGAUGUGAUCCAUGCCAUCCUGGUCCUCAUACAUCCGGAAACGGCCCUUUGCCUGUUUUGUGUUCUUAGCAGCAACAGACUCGGCAACAUAAACACCUUGUUCACUGGAAAGCAUUCCUUCAGGAGUAUGAAAAAUCUGAAUGUCAUUUUCCAAAAGCAUAUCAUGUGAACAACGAUCUUCGAGUUUUUUUAAGUGCUUUUCAAACUCCAUGUAGAUAUCUCUAGGAGUAAUUGACAUCAAUGUUGUUAGAGAACUUAUUGCUGCUUCUUGUUCAAAUACAUUCGAACUCAUCAACCCCAUUGGUCCUAGUAGACCCUUGCAUAAAUUCUCAACGUUUGCAGAAAUCAUACCGAAGACAUCAAAACCAAGUGUUUGCAAACAUUUAUGAACCCUCCUCCAAACUGUAUCUCCUUUUGCAGUGCCAACGAUGCAUGGAUGAUGCGAGCAGAAUAUGAUUUGUGUGCAUAUACUUGGAGAAGAAGCAAGAGUUGCAGACGAUAACACAACUAAAGCCUUCACUGAUACCUCAACUGAUGGAAGAAAAGGAACUUGAGAGUCCAAUGAAUAAUCUGUGUCACUUGUCUUCAAAACAAAGAUUUUCUCUCCAACUACUGAAAGAAAACUUAAGAACUCAGUUAAAAGAGCUUCAGAUAACUGUGGGAGAGAAGAAAUUAUUUUUCUGGUAGCCUCAUGCGACAUUUUUCGAACCUCCCAACUCGGAUGGCAUAGAAAGAAGACUAUUAACUGUAACAAUAAUUUGACCGAAAAAGCUUCUAAAACUCUGCGAGAAUGUUCCACCAGAAGCACCUCAAGAAGUUCAACACAUGCCAUGCAAUCUUCAGCAGAUAAUUUUGAAGCCAAAGAAAUUUGUACAAGUGAAGGUUCAUUUUGGGAAAUCAAAGACCAGAUCUUUUCCUUUGCCAGUGUCUCCUCUGCUUUGAUGUCUGCAGAUGCAAUCUUCCCAGCAAUAAGCAAAGCAUAUACACCAUCUAGACGCUGAACUGCUUUAGUGAAACCAGUUUUUACAAGUUGAAUAAGAGGCCCAAGCAAAGAUGAUAUCUGUAAAACAGUAUCAGCAUUUUUGCAUAUGACCCGUAGACAACGAAGAUGUCCCCUUCUUAAAACUUCUUUCUCCUUGAGACCAGAAGCAAUAAAUGAAACCAUAUCUGCCUGAACAGCAUCUGCAGAUCGUGCUGCCCAAGAAGCAGUAGCUGACAAAAUUGCAAGCUUUACCUCUUCAUUUCCCUCAUCUUUGUAGCAAGAUAAAAGGAACUGACAUAUCGUACGUGACAGACUGCUUAAAUAUUUUCCUUCAGGCGCAUAUGAUAACUCUUGAAGAGCAUUGAACAUGCCAAUUCUCUGGUAAGGAAAUUGAAGUCUUCCUUCUGAACCUCCAAUUACAGCUUUAACAGCAGCAAACAUUGCUUCUAAAGCAUCAGGAUUACUAGACUUUUGACUCAAACACCGGACUAUAGCCAAUGCCCCAAGUCUUCUAAUUUCGUCUGUGUGUCGAGCCUGUGACAAUAUUACUGAAAGAAGUUCGUUGGCGUACUUGCUCAAAUCAAGUUCAACUAAUUUCAAAAGAAUUCCGACUGAUUCCAACACAAUCUCAGGGUUGCGCUUCAACAUUUUUACUGAAGAUGGAACCACAAUAUUUUGAAAAUCUUCAUGCAACAAAUGCAUAAAGAGCGGACGGAAUGAUUCACUAAGCCCUAUUGCAGGCUUUUCUUUAGCAUUUAAAACUGCCUUAACAUAUAUGUCAAGAAAUAUUGGCUUCAAUUCUCCAAAAGAAGAUGAUGCAAUUGAAAAUUCCAGCAAUAACCAUAUUAAUUCAGGGCUAUCUUUGUAGGGGAUCCGUGCAUCCUUUAAUUCCUCAGCAAAGAUUUUGUAUAUGUCUGGUGACUGUGAAAAUAAAUGAAAAAAUAAUCGCUUGCAAGCCCUUCGCUCGCGAAAAGAUCUUUGAAUAACAAUAUGAAGCAGGGAUGCCUGCACUGCAGCAACUCUGCAUACUGCAUUCUUUGAAACCGCAGCAAACUGACUCUUGCUUAAUAGAAGACAUGACCACUUGAGAAGUCUGUAGCAGCCUACAUGAGACUGGAACUUUGAAUGCUUUUCCAUGGUCUGAACAAGGGUUGCGGCAAAAUUUUUCAUGAAUAUAAUUUCACCCAAAGCUUUUUCAACAAUGUCAUCAACAGCUUUCCUUGAUCUACGGUCCUCAUAUAUAGUCAAUGUUUGAAAAACUACAUCUAUUAAUGUUGAUGCAACCUCAGGAGACAUCUCUGAAUUGUUGAGAAUCAAAGGGAUAUCAUCGCGGAAUAUCCGGACCCGUUUCUUGGUGGAGGGAGUGGAGACCGACCCGGCAAUGGAAAUGAGGGAAUCAAGAGAUGAUGAAGCCGCCAUUGGGAAAGGGAAGGUCCGGAAUGAUGAUCCAAGUAAAGACUUCAAGCUCCGACGACAGAAAUGGAGACGACGCGAUGCAUACAGCAACGGAUAUGAAAAGAUGUGCGUUGGAGUUUGAUUAGGGUUUUAGAAGCUCAC